rnacentral:rRNA from 1 species
UGGGGAAUAUUGCACAAUGGGCGAAAGCCUGAUGCAGCAACGCCGCGUGAGUGAUGAAGGCCUUCGGGUUGUAAAGCUCUGUCUUUUGGGACGAUAAUGACGGUACCAAAGGAGGAAGCCACGGCUAACUACGUGCCAGCAGCCGCGGUAAUACGUAGGUGGCAAGCGUUGUCCGGAUUUACUGGGCGUAAAGGAUGCGUAGGCGGAUUUUUAAGUGAGAUGUGAAAACCCUAAGCUUAACUUGGGGACUGCAUUUCAUACUGGAAAUCUAGAGUGCGGGAGAGGAGAAUGGAAUUCCUAGUGUAGCGGUGAAAUGCGUAGAGAUUAGGAAGAACACCAGUGGCGAAGGCGAUUCUCUGGACCGUAACUGACGCUGAGGCAUGAAAGCGUGGGUAGCAAACAGGAUUAGAUACCCUGGUAGUCCACGCCGUAAACGAUGAGUACUAGGUGUAGGAGGUAUCGACCCCUUCUGUGCCGCAGUUAACACAAUAAGUACUCCGCCUAGGAAGUACGAUCGCAAGAUU